GCAGUGCGGCUGCUAUACAUGCAGUCGUACGCUUCUUUUUCCACCGGAGCUUGCUCCACCGGAAAAAGAAGAGUGGCGAACGGGUGAGUAACACGUGGGUAACCUGCCCAUCAGAAGGGGAUAACACUUGGAAACAGGUGCUAAUACCGUAUAACAAUCGAAACCGCAGGGUUUUGAUUUGAAAGGCGCUUUCGGGUGUCGCUGAUGGAUGGACCCGCGGUGCAUUAGCUAGUUGGUGAGGUAACGGCUCACCAAGGCCACGAUGCAUAGCCGACCUGAGAGGGUGAUCGGCCACAUUGGGACUGAGACACGGCCCAAACUCCUACGGGAGGCAGCAGUAGGGAAUCUUCGGCAAUGGACGAAAGUCUGACCGAGCAACGCCGCGUGAGUGAAGAAGGUUUUCGGAUCGUAAAACUCUGUUGUUAGAGAAGAACAAGGAUGAGAGUAACUGUUCAUCCCUUGACGGUAUCUAACCAGAAAGCCACGGCUAACUACGUGCCAGCAGCCGCGGUAAUACGUAGGUGGCAAGCGUUGUCCGGAUUUAUUGGGCGUAAAGCGAGCGCAGGCGGUUUCUUAAGUCUGAUGUGAAAGCCCCCGGCUCAACCGGGGAGGGUCAUUGGAAACUGGGAGACUUGAGUGCAGAAGAGGAGAGUGGAAUUCCAUGUGUAGCGGUGAAAUGCGUAGAUAUAUGGAGGAACACCAGUGGCGAAGGCGGCUCUCUGGUCUGUAACUGACGCUGAGGCUCGAAAGCGUGGGGAGCAAACAGGAUUAGAUACCCUGGUAGUCCACGCCGUAAACGAUGAGUGCUAAGUGUUGGAGGGUUUCCGCCCUUCAGUGCUGCAGCUAACGCAUUAAGCACUCCGCCUGGGGAGUACGACCGCAAGGUUGAAACUCAAAGGAAUUGACGGGGGCCCGCACAAGCGGUGGAGCAUGUGGUUUAAUUCGAAGCAACGCGAAGAACCUUACCAGGUCUUGACAUCCUUUGACCACUCUAGAGAUAGAGCUUCCCCUUCGGGGGCAAAAUGACAGGUGGUGCAUGGUUGUCCUCAACUCCUGUCGUGAGAAGUUUGGGUUAAUUCCCCCACGAAGGCACCCCUUAUUGUUAGUUGCCUCCUUUCAUUUGGGGAUCUUACAAGAAUGCGGUGAAAACCCAAGAAAAGGGGGGGGUGA
rnacentral:rRNA from 1 species